UUAUCGGUGUAGUGUAUUCCUAUUACAUGUAUUGCGCUUCAUAGACUUUAAGUUUGAUUAUAUCCUCCGAUCAAUGGACGCACGUGGUUACACCACGGUAAAAGAAAUGUUUGUUUUGGAACUUGUACACCACCACGAUCCUUUUACCUGCUUUAUUCAAUAAACUUUACAUUGGAUACACUGGUUAAGUUUUAUGUGAUGAGACAGGACAACAGGUCUAAUAACCACAGUUUCAAAACGUAAGAUCGAUUGAAGUCCACGUUCUGUCAGCAUCAUCCUAAGGACCAGUGCAAGUUGAAAUGGGCAUCCAGCCAACAACUUCAACAGCAAUUUGCCAUGAAAAUCAGCACGAAAGGUACUUCAUUUACAUUGAUGAUGUCAUAUCCCCUGGACCCCACAACUUUACAAGUUACAGAGAAAAUUCAAGAACUUCUGCACAAUGUGAGACUCGAAUAUAAUCAAUAAUGUAUUUGUGAUCCAAUAUAUAUUGUGCAACAUACUAAAGUGUGAAUUUAAUGGAAAGCAAGUACAUGUACUCAUGUAUUACAUGUCUUUUUUAAAGACAAUAAUAUUGUAUAAAUAUAGAGGAAGUGUCAUUGUUGAUUAUUCUAAGUUUUUGAUAUACCAAAAUCAGUAAACAUUUGUAAAUGAAAAUAAAAUACCAAUUUUAUAACU